GUUUUUGAGAAGGCUGCAGAGAGAGGUGCCUGAUACAGCUCCUGAGAAGACUUUCAGCAGUCCACACAUGUGCGGUUUUGGGUGAACUGUGAUGGUCUGAGGACUCCUAAUUUGAAGAGCCUGGACUGAAGCAGAAAUUAAAGGAUGGGAGACAGGAUAUGGAAAUUCUUUUCUCCAACAAUUUGCUCGGUAUCUGUGCCUCCUCAUACACCACAGAAGAGGGUUUUCUUGCCUAGGGCAGCUGUAGGUAACCUCACCUGCUCUCUGCAAACUGAGAAAGGAGCAGUGAGUUGGUUUUGUCAGUGACUCCAUCCUUCUGAGGACAAAGACCUCUCCCCUCGUGGUGUCUGACACAACCAGUAAGCUCUGCAGGUCUUCUGCAGAGAAACCUUAGAUUGAACCUUCAACUUCCAGGAUAGUAUUGAACCUACAAUAACCUGCACCAGGUUGAGGAGAUGAAUCCCACUUUUUGAGGCAAUAAGGGAGCUGUACCAAUGAACUGGAUGCUGGAAGGUGAAGAGUGCCUGGUUUUUAUGCCAUCCUCAGUAAAGAGAUUUGUGUGGACAACUGUGUCACCUUAUGAAACCCAACGAUGAAUGUUUGCUUAGAAAACACUUGAUGUGGCAGAAAAAGCAGAGGCAAAAGUGAGUUUGACUGCCCUCGUUCAGAGCACAAUAUGGUUCUCUGGCCCAGUUGUGUUCCUAGAGCUUGGCAAUCUUCUGAGUUUCUAAGUUAGAACUGUCUUAUUCUCCAUUUUCUCUGAUACUUCACUGGAAAAAUAAGUGGAGUCUUUU